rnacentral:lncRNA from 1 species
AUGAGUCUAACAAUUCCGAGGACCGAGUCUGCGAAUGAGCUACUGACCACCCCCGCCCUGGGCGCCAGGACUUCUGCCGUUGACAUGUGUCUCAUCUCACGGCGGGGGGUUCCUGGCGAGGAGAAGAACCAAGAGGAGAGAAAGCGGAGCACAUGAGACUCAGAAGGAUG